GAACACUGACUUGUCUUCUCUUCUGCUUCCUGCAGUGUGGGGCGCCCACAGGGGCCACCCGGUUGGGGGAACUGCUGCCCUGUGUCUGGGUCAGUCUUCAUCCUGGUAUUUCCUGCUUUUGCUCCUCCUCCUGAUGGAGAUCUUGUAAACUCGAAAUGACUGGAUAUUCAGGGACAGACUUAAUUCAGAAGUGUAGAUGGCUGAGUCACUCGUACUUUUCCCGUUCUACUCUGUGAAAGAAUUGUUCCCUGAAAACCCGAAACUGGUGACAACAGUUGCAAGUAAGACAGGAGUGACUGUGGGAUUCCUGCCUGUUCAUCUUCUCACCUCUGAAUCUCUUCACCUUGGAAAGUUUUUUUUUUUUUUUUGCCUUUUUCCUUUUUAUCGGUACCAGGGAUCAAACUCACAACUGCCUGCUUGCAAGGCAGGCGCUUAUGCCACUGAGCUAAAUCCUCAGCCCCUCACCUUGGAAAGUUUUGCAUCAGCUCCUUGUGAUUAGGGCAUGUCUGGGGUCUCCCACCUUAUUCUGGUUUGGGAUGGAGCUGCUGUGUUUUUGUUUGUUUUGGUGUUUUGAGACAGGAUCUCCCUAUGUAGUUCAGGUUGGUCCUGAACUCACUAUUUAUCCCAGGCUGGCCUCAAACUGACAGCAAUCUUCCUGCCUCGGUUUCUGAGGCUGGAAUUAUAAGCAUGCACCAUCCUGCUUGGCUCUGUUUUUCUCCCUUUUCUGAACAAAAGAAGGUGUACUGUAUAUACUUAAUUGCAUUGUUUAUUUUACUUGAUGCACUGGAGGUCUUUCACGCGAAUGUUAGAGGGUUUGUGGCCUUGGUUGUUGGCCCGAUGCUGCCCCCACGCAUAGUCAAGGGGCUUUGGUACGGUGGACUUAGAAAUAGCUGACCCUAACCCAAAGAUGGACUGAAAUGCUGCACACAUUUUAUGUGCUAGACUCAGAGUCCAGGGGCUUGUUUUCCACAUUAGUUAGCUUGGAAGGGAGACACUGGGGACAACUAAACGUGAACCUACUUCGUUUCAGAGACUCAGGAAAGACCACAGCAAAUGUAUGAGAUAGAGACCUCUAUGUUGGUUGGAAGCAAUGCUUGAAGGCCUGUUGGGGUUUUCCAGGCAUUGAAAACUCAGCAUUCAUGUGCCUGGGACUCCCUGAUAAGCAGGGUUUCUGUCUAAAGUCCAACUGGUGUCAUUGUGUCACAAUGGGGGAGGGGACAGGAGGAAGCGGCUGUCGGCCAGGAAGCCAGACUCCCCGGUCCCUGGGUCCUAGGCAGGCCUGGGAGCCCUUUGCUGGCUGUGAGCAGCUGAUGGAGGUGUUGGUGGGCUGGGCAGGAGGAACUGGAGGGUGUGAAGAUGGGACCACGGAGAGGAAAGCACUCCUGUCUUCCCUGGAGAUCGGCACUUUCUGCCAUUGUCCCUCCCAGGUCUGAGCCAGUUCCGUGACACCACCGUAUGGGCAGCCAAGGGUGGCUAUUGGGACACAGACCUGCCUGUAUAGGGCCCCAGGUGCAUUCCUCUUGCCCUCCCCCACUUUGUCUCAAUUCUGCUCCAGCCUCUGGAAGGAGGCUGUCAUUCUUGGAUCCUGCCUGCCUGGUGUCACUCCGGGCCUUUGAUUGAAAGGCCAGACUUCCAGGAACUGGUUCAGGCUUUGCUGAGGAAGGAAGGGCAAACAGGGAGGGGAUGGAAGCCUCACUGGAGGUCCGGAUUCUAAUAGAGUUGCAAUGUCAAAUUCAUUUGUUAAUCUAACAGAUUUUGGUGUUGACUGGAUUGUGGGUAUUGUGCUAAUUUGGGGGGGGGGUGGUGAGUGAUCUCCCGCUGUGUCAUAACUAUGAGCGUACACAGCUGUGGUGUUAGGUUGCACUCGCUCUCUCUAACAGCUGGAGGGUCCUCAGGUGCCCAGAGGGAAGUUUGGAUACGUUCUUUGAAGAAACCAGAGAUGCUGUCUAGCUUUCCUCUUUUUCCUUCCUUUUAAAAAUUCAAACUAAUGCAACAAGGAAAGCUCUAAUAGUCAACAGCAUAUAUAGAGAAGACAAAGGAUUUCCUAAUAAAGCAGUCAGAGGAAAUAGCUCUUCUCUUGUGGGUGAGGCCCUUUGUGUAGAAUACACAGGGUUUGGUGCAGUCUUUUAUGCAUCUGGAUGAGGGCUGCUUGUGGCUCAUGACAGUCCUCUAGGUACACACUCGGGAUCUUUCUCCAUUUGCAAGGAACUACAGCCUCAGUGACCAAGCAGAAAUGCAAAACAGAGUGUCAGCGCUGUCAUCCAAGCACAACAUGUUUUGGUAGCAUAGGGAGAUACAGAAGCCAGGUGUGGCGCAAGCCCGAGAUCCUAGUACUGGCGAGGCUGAGGCAGGAGGAUUGCCAGGAGUUUGAAGCCAGCCUGGGCUACAUAGCUCAAGAUGAGCUCAAGACCAGCCUGGGCUACAUAGCAAGACCCUGUCUUAACUACCUCCCACUAAUUAACAGGGUACAUAGUAACUUUAAGAAAAAAAAUUUUUUUUGGUCUUUUUUGUUUUACCGGUACCAGGGAUCGAACUCACGACUGCCUGCUUGCAAGGCAGGCACUUACGUUGCUGAGCUAAAUCCCCAGCCCCUUGAAGAAAAAUUUUUUAAAAAAAUUAGUUAUACAUGUGUGUAGCCAGUGCAGUGGUGAAUGCCUCUAAUCCUAGCACGUGGGGCUGUAGCAGGAGGAUUGUCAUAAACUCAAGGCCAGUCUGGGCUACAUAGUUUAAGGCCAGCCUGAACUAUAGUGAGAUGCUGCCUCAAAACAAAACAAAACAAAACAAAAUGAAAACCUAAAGUGAUAUGUAUGUAUGUAUGUAUGGUAAAAUAUGUAUUAAGUAGCUAGACAUUAUAGUGAACACUUCUGAUGUCAGCAUUUAGGUGAUAGGAAGAUCAUGAGUUCUAGACCAGUGUGAACUAUAUAGCAAAACCUUGCUCCCUACCCCCCAAAAAAGCGCCUUUAAACAAGAGUCAUUCUAUAGUAUUCUACUCCAUGUCUGUAUCAUAAUUUAUGAAUCAUUCCCUUUAGGGUUUUUCCCCUUGCUUUACUAAAUAACAUUAAUCUUUAAAUUUAUCUUUGAUAUUUUCUUAGGCUAUAUUCCUGAAAGUGUUUUUUUUUUUUUUUUUCUUUUUCUUUUUGUAAAUGGGGAUUGAAUUUAGGGGUACUGUACCACUGAGCUACAUCCUUAGUCCUUUACAAUUUUAAAAAUUUCUAUUUUGAGACAAUGUCUCAAUAAGUUACCCAGGCUGGAUGAGAAUUUGGAAUCCUCCUGCCUCCAUAUGCUAGUACCUGGGAUGACCCUGUGACUACUGAGAGGUUUUUUGGGGGAGGGGAGAGAGAGGAAGGCUGUUGAUGUGUAGGUCAGGUUGACCUUGAACAAACUAUGGAGGCCAGGCUGGCUUUGAACUCAGUGAUCCUCUUGUCUCAGCCUCCCAAGUGCUGGGAUUAUAGGUGUAUACCACUACACUCACCCUGAUGUUUUGGUUUUUUUUCGGAGACAGGGUCUCUGCUAUGUAGUCCAGGCUGCCUUCAUACUUACUAUGUAACUCAGAAUGGCUUCAAAUUCAUGGUGAAGGGAUUUAGCUCAAUGGCAUAAGCGCCUAUCUGGCAACCAAGAGGUCUUGAGUUCUAUCCCUGGCGCGCACACACACACACACACAAUUGGUACAAAUUCAUGGUGAUCAUUUUGUCUCAGCCUUUCAAAUGUUGAGAUUGCAGGCUCAAAACCACACCUGCUUUUGAGAGAUUAAUUUUGACUGAGGAAAAUCACAGUAAUCAGGGGACAUUUGAACAGCACCUUGAAAAAAAGAUAGGAUUUCCUGGCUUGCCCAGUGGAGGAGAUGACAUAGUAAUUUUAGAGGAUUGGAAUUGGGCAGAUAUGGGUUAAGACCUUACUAUUUGUAGCUGUGUGAUUUGAGGCAACUGUUACAAAUCUCAGUUUUCUUCUUACAAAUUGGGAUGGUAGCCAGGUGUGGUGUGGCACACGCGUAAUCCCAGCACUCUGAGGGGCUGAGGCAGGAGGGUCCCAAGUUCAAGCUCAGCCUGGGCAACUGAACAGUUCAGGAGAUUCUGUAUUAAAGGGGACAGGGUGAGGUGAGGAUGUAGCUCAGUGCACAGGCUUUGGGUUCAGUCCCCUGCACCACAGAAAGGAAGGGGCGAUGAUAACAACAGGAUUUGUCUCAGGAUUUUUGUGAUAAUUUAAUGAGAAAAUCCAUAAAAGGCACUGACCAAAGUGUGCAGGAGCAGUAUGCUACCCUUUUGGCAGUCAUUAGACUCUCCUGAGAUUCAAGGGGAGGAAUCAUAGAUUAGUCACAAAGUAAGAAAACUGUGUGGGAGAAGGUAAAUAGAUAGGCAUGACCAUUUGGAAAGUACAAGGCACAUAAUGAUUAAUGAUUUCCAGGAGUUCUACCAUCGGUCCACUGAGUUACAUGCUUAUACAGUAGCCACCUCAUCCUUUGUGAUACCUUUUUGUUUGUUUGUUUGUUUGUUUUUGAGACAGGAUUUCACAUAUGUUUCAGACUGGCCUUGAACUCAUUAUGUAGACCUAGCUGUUCUUUUACGUCUGGUGCUCUUCCUGUCUUUGCCUCCUCAGUGUGGGGAUGAUAAGUGUGUGCCACCACGACUGGCUUCCUUUUUUCUAUUUUUUACUUUGAGAUAGGGUCUAGCGAAGUUGCUGAGUUGCCCAGACUGAGUUUAAACUUGGAACCCUCCUGCCUCAGCUUUCCAGAGUACUGGAAUUACAGGACUGUUUCUGUGCCAGUUCAAAUUGAUCCACCUUGACUUUGGGGCGGCAAUGUGCAUUGUCCACAAAGCUGUGGUGGUUGGUGCAGUAUCAUGCACUGGAAUCAGGUUACCCAGGUUACAAUCUUAUUUCUGUCACCCACUGGUUCUGUGACCUUGAGCAAAUCACUUAAUUUCUGUGCCCCAAUUGAUUCCUGUGUUAAGAUGGGAGCAAUAAACAGCAUCUAUCUCAGAGUACUGUUGCGAGGAUUUAUUUCUUUAUUUAUUUAUUUUAUUGGUACCGGGGAUUGAACUCACUGAAAGGCAGGCGCUUAUGCCGUUGAGCUAAAUCCCCAGCCCCUGUGUUGCGAGGAUUUAAUAAACCAUGACAGGGCUCAAAAGAAUAUCUUGAACAUAGUGUUCAAAAAUUUAGCUGCUCUGGUUAUUUUACUCAUGGCUUUCCUGGUGUACUAGUAAUGUGUAAAGAGAAAGGGUAGGGAGUGCCUGCCACCAACCCUCCGCUGUCAGAUCUCUCAACGCACUGUAGUGACGCUUUGUGUGCACGGGUACCUCUCACCUACCAGACCAGGAACUUCUGGGAGCAGAGAACAUCAGUUGUUUACUAUUUGGAGUCCUCAACCCCUAGCACAACGCCUGGUACAAGAUGGCAUUCAGUAAAUGUUUGCUAAAGAGCCUAGUGCAGUGACCUUUUAGAGCAUUCUUUUUUUAAACUUUUUUUUUGGUCUUUUGAGAAAGGAUCUUGUUAUGUAGUUCAGGAUGGGCUUGAAUUUACCACGUAGCCCAGGCUAACCUCACUCAAGCGAUCCUCCUGCCUCAGCCUCCCAAGUGCUGGGAUUACAGAUGUAUACCACCAUGCCCAGCCCUCUGUUUAGAACUUUCAAUGAUACAAACAGCCCAUUGCUUCAUGCAUGCCAUAGGUUUACCACCACUGGAAUAGAGCAUUAUUAACAACUGAGGUCAUAGCCGACAGUCUGUUAAUUAAGGUUUACCUCAAAGAUGAGUCCUAGAUUGUACCCCAGAACCUUCACUGAGCUGCAUCCCUCGCUCUUUUAUUUUUAUUUUUUUAUUUUGGGACAGUGUUCUGCUAAUACACACAUUCUGAGUGUCUUUGUGUUCUAAUAUUCUCUUCUUACAGGGAUACCAGGGGUCACAUUUGAACAUAAUUCCUACUCUCAAGGCCCUGUCUUUUAGUAGUCACACUUUGAAGUACUGAGAAGUCUGACAUAAGAAUUUUUGGGAAAUAUUUAGUUCACAAUAACCACAAAUCAUUUUGAAGUUCACCUCUGCCAAAAGGAGCUAAAGUCUGCCCAGGGUAGAGGUGGGGUCUUCGCAGUUUGCUUGGAAUUUCUUGGUUGCACUUGUCAUGAGGACAGUGAAAAUGGGUGCUUCCCCCCACCCCCUACUUUACCAUAUCAUUUAAUCUUUUUUUUUUCAAGCAAGAUCUCACUAUGUAGUCCAGGCUGUCCUGGAACUCUUAAGGUGAUCCUCCUGCCUCAGCCUCAUGAGUGCUAAGAUUACAGAUGUGUGUGCUACCAUGUCUGGCUGUUUCGAUUUCAAACUGACCCCUUCUCUAGGACCUACCGGGUGACAAUCCUAGCUGUGAUGCAAUCCAGAGGACUGAGCUACUUCUCUAGGCCAGUAUGGCACAGGUGCCUCAAUGGGCUGUUUGUAUCAUUGAAAGCUCUAAAAUGUUCACUCUAGGUAUUGUCUGAGGCCCAGAGAAAACCUGCCCAGCUGACGUUUAAAAAUUUUUUAGAAGGGGCUUUGCUAAGUCAUUAAAUUCUCCAAGGUGGGAUCACACUUUUGUAUUCCUACUUUGACCUCCCAGUGUGCUGGGAUUAAGUGGUAUACACCACCAUGCCUGGCACGGUAUUAAACUUUUGAAAAGAUCAGGCCUUGGUUUUCCUUUGUUUGGUCAUACCCCCUUCUGCUAGUUUAAAAUUUGGACUUAGCCAGGGACAGUAGCAUGUGCCUGGAACCCUAACACUCUUAAGAAGCUGAGGCAAGAGGCUCAUAAAAUCAAGGUCAACCUGGGCAGUUUAACAAUUUACUAAAACCCUGUUUCAAAAUAAAAACUAGAAACAAGGGCUGGUGAUGUAACUCAAUGGGAAGUCCCCAGAUUCAAUCCCAGGGGCCAGGUCCAGGGAUAAUAGUUUCAAUUUCUAGUACUGGGGGCGGGGGGGAGGAAGAAAAUAAAAAGAAAGAAAAAACAAAACAAAUCAAUCCCAGGUGCCAGAAAGAGAAGUGAGUGGAGAGCGUAUCUUCACAAAGAAAGGUUAACUAGUAGACCGUCUGCAGUGACCUAUUUGUUGAGCAGACAUUUACUGAAUGUCAGCUUGUACCAGGUGUUAGGCUAAGGGUUGAGGACUCAGAAUAAUAAGUAACAUGCUCUGUGCUUCCUGGGGGUUUAUGUCACAUAAGGUCACAGACAAGGUGUGUGCAGGGCUUGCACUUGGACAGUGUUUUGCAGGCGAUAAUGAAAGCCUAGGAAGAGGCUUUAAGCUGGCUGAGGUGAGGUUGGGUGUGGUAGGUCUUUUCCUGGAAAAGAAUGUAGAGGAACAGGUGUCAGUCAGAUAAAGAGGGAAGAGGAUGUUCCACAUAGCAGAAAUAGCUGAGCAGAGGCAGAGAUAGUGAGGCAACUGGGUCUCUGCUGUGAAGUGUAAGUGGUUGGAUGCUGCGGGAGGGUAAACUGCUGUAGGAGAGUAGGUGAGAAAAGAUAAGUGUAUCAGGAAGCCCUGUAGUGUUGAAACUUUGUAGCUUGCUGGUAAAUCUGGAUUUUAUCUUAUAGGCAAUGCAGAAUCAUCAAACCUUUGAAGCCCAGCCAGGUGUGGUGGCACGGGCUAGCAAUCCCAGCCCUUGGGAAGCCAAAGCAGGGGGAUUGUGAGUUCUUGGGCUAUAAUAGCAACGCCUCCCCUCCAGCCCCACCUGAAGCUUUUUAUGGAUCUGCCUUUAUAGGAAGGCUUUAUAGUACACAGUACCACAGGCUCUCGAUUGGACCAUAUUUGUUCAGGUUUGCACCAUUACUCACUAUUGAGCAUUCAACAAUUUUCUUAACUGCUCUAAGCGUCGGUUUUCUUAUAGAAUAUAGCAAAGAACCUGUUAUUUAUUCUUAUGUAGAAAAUAGUAAUACUGUCAUCCACCUCUGAAGUUGGACAGGGAUUAAAGGAUGGCCCAUAUCAUAGCCUCACAACCAUGCCCAGCAUUCAGGAAGUGCCCACCAACCCUUAGCUUUCCAUUUGGCCAUGGAGUGGAGGUUGGAUUUCCUGUACAUGGAAAUGGCCAAGCAAGCCAAAAAUCUACUGAUGCUUUUAACUUUGUAGCUCUACUCAUUGUGACUACACAUUAAACUUUAUAAUAGAAAGCCUCCAGUGCCCUUGCAUUUUGGUUAACCAUGUGCACCCCGUCAUUUGUACGUGUGUGCACUGUAAGGCAAAUAUAGUCCCAGGGUUAACUGCAAAAGGGGAGCGGUGCUGGUUCCAGGGAGGAUGUAGAACAGAUGAGGAGGCGGGCAGGGAACUUGCUGUCCUCCUGUAGAUGUGGCCCUGUGAGGGGGAGCUCUGGGCUCUGCUGUCCACCUGUGAAGGAACCAGGAGUGUGAGCCUCAUCGACGUGGCCACAGUGACAGAUGGAGAGGGCUUGUGGGGCUGGAGUCCCAGCACUUUGCAGACAGUAUUCAUUAUUUAUUUAUACAUACGUCUUGUUAAGAAAACUUUGAAGUCCAAAAGAGAAGUAUACAUAGAACAGCCUGUGGGUGACUGGUAGUAAUGGGGUGCAGUACUUACCUGGUACUUCCUGUUGGUCACAGUCACGCACUGUCCUUAGCACUUUAUUUGUGUUAGCUUGUUUAACCCUCACUAUAGGGCUUUGAUGUAGAAACUGUUAUUAUCCCCAUUUUACAGACAGGCAAACUGAAGUCCAAGAUGGUUAAGUGGCCUGCCUGGGUCACAUGGUCAAGUAAGACAGAGGCUCAUUCGGGAAUUGGAAGGGGAAUAAAUGUGGACCAGUAUGUCUGAGGUGUGCUGUGAUGAGAGCAGGGCAGGUACAUGGGCUGGAUUUGACCUGUCAGUGAUAGGCAGUGGCCCCAUUAGGCCACAGCAGAUGGGCACCUUUGGGCCUGGAGGUGAAGGUCUCUGUUAGUAACAAGAAGCCCAUGGUAUGAGCUGGGCAUGGUGGCUUAAGCCUGUAGUCCCAGAACUCAGGAGGCUGAGGCAGGAGAACUGCUGCAAGUUGGAGGCCAACCUGGGCUAUACAGCGGGAUCCUGUUUCAAAAAGGAAAAAAAAAAAAGGCUCACCAUCAGGAUUAGUGAGGAGAGGGGUGCAUGCCUGAGACCUGGCAUGUCGUGCUUGUCUGUGUGUGAUUCCCAAGUGCGUUUGAGGUCUGAUGUUUCAGCAUGUCACUGGACAGGGCCCAAAGAGGCCCCACAAGUGGGUUGUAGGUAGAACACAUAAAGAAGUUUCUUAGGUGGAAUUUAAAGACUUAAAGUGUAGGCCUUCUAGGGCUGGAGAUUUAGCUCAGCGGCAUAAGCGCCUGCCUUGCAAGCAGGCAAUCAUGAGUUUGAUCCCCGGUACCGAUAAAAAGGAAAAAGACAAAAAAACAAAACAAAACAAAAAAAAAGUGUAGGCCCUCUAGAGAGCUGAGAAUAUGUAUGUGUUUCUGUGCACUCUAUGGCAGGUUUGGGUGUGGUUGGCUCCAGGAAGUAGGAUAAUGGCUUAUUUUCCGGGUGAAAGGAUUGAAGGGUUUUCUGGAGGAAGGCAGGCUCCACACUCCACUUGUUUUUCAAAGGUGUAUGAUUUAUUUUCCAAAAAUAGUCUUUAAAACUUUUGGAUCUACUUCUGUAUAUAAUACUCAUUUGUGUCCUUUGUGGAUUUACAAUGUCUUUUAAUGGAUUUUGGGUGUGAUAGGGCUGGAUGAAAAGAAUAAACCAGCCUAGGGAGAACAGAUAUGGAUAGCCUUGGAUACCACUCUGUGUCUCCUGAUGUUAUAGUCAGUCUGGAGACAGGGUUGCAUGUAGUUCAGCUUGGCCUCAAACUCCCAGCAAGCUUCCUGCCUCAGCCUCCCAAGUGCUGGCAUUACAUGUGUGUGCCACCACACCUGGCAGAAGUUGUAGUCUUCUUAAAAGUACAAUUUUUAAAUUGUGAUUUUUUUCCUUAUCUAUUUUUUUUUAAGCCUAUCUAUUUCUUCUAUUUCAGAACUCUACAAAGAACUCAGAAGUGAAUUAGAACCAGCAGCUUCCUAGACUGUGGUGGGGGGUGUGUCUCAAAAGCUGGUUUUUAGUUUAAUUACACGCUGUUCAUUAUUUGGGUGGUGUCAGGUUGGGAUCUUGAGGAGCUGCCUCUGAGAUACCAAUUAUCAUAGAAGAUGUUUAUUAGGGAGAACUCCUAGGACCCACGGUGAGGGAGAGGAUAGAAGUAAGAGUGGCUGAGGGAGAGUUACACUGUAAUCUCAGUGAGGCUCGGCAUUGUGGGGCUGUGGGCCACAGCUCCCGGGGCAGGAAAGCUGGGCCAUAGAACUGGGACUGACAGUUCCACCUCCUGUCACUAGUCAGACGCUAGGAUCCGGCAACCUCGCAGAUGACUGCAGCCUGGAGCCCACAAUGCGACACUGAGUCCUUGAUUCCCAGCACACUUCACAUUGCAGAAGCCAAGUGUUCACUUUAAAAAGCUUGGAAAAACAAGGCUCCCGUCAGCAAAACAGGGAAGGCAGACAUGCAAGUCCAGGCAUUUGUAUUAGCAUUCUCAGUAAAGGCUGAGUAAGAGCGCUCCACACCCUUAGGAGUUGUUUCCAAUAAACUAAGGGCCAUGUGGUUUACUUUCUGCAUUUGUUAUUAUCUGAGUUCAGAAUUACUGGCAUUAAAAAGGUAGUGAGAAAUAUACAAAGUAGCAGGUACAAAGUAAUAUUAAAAACAAAUUCAUAGGGCCAGGGAUUUAGUUCAGUGGCAGAAGUGCCUGCCUGGCAAGCACGAGGUCAUAAGUUUGAUCCCCAGUACCAAAACAACAACAACAACAACAAAUUCAUAGAUUAAAAUCAACUUGCUUUUUAAAAGAACAGCAUUUUAUGAGCUGGUCACGGUGGCACAUGCUUGUAAUCCCAGCAGUUGGAAGAUUGAGGCAGGAGGAUUCCUGAGUUCAAGACUGACUUGGGCUACAUAGGGAGAUGCUGUCUGAAAGCAAAAAUUGAAAGAAUACAUUUUGUUACAUAGUUUACCUUCAUUAAGCCAGGGGCCCUUUCAGAAACAGCAUGGUUUAUUGUACCAAUAACAGAAGGUAUAGGAAAAAAAGCUGGCAGGCUAAGGCAGAUGGAUUGCACAAAUUUGAGUUCAGCAUGGGGAAUUUAGCAACUUAGACCCUCCAAGUAAACAAAGGGCUGAGGAUGUAAUUCAUUCUAAAGGGCCUGUUAUCCCAGCACUGUCUGAUGUAGGAGAACUGUGAGUCCAAAGCCAGCCUGGGUUAUAUAUAUAGUGAGGUUGAGACUCAUCAAGACUACAUAGUAAGAUCCUGGUUUUAAAAAAAGGAAGGAAAGAGGAAGGAUGGAGGGUUUUGAGAGGAACUUGUACACUGUUUUAUUUUUUUAUUUUUAUUUUUAUUUAUUUAUUUUUUUGUCUUUUUCAUUUUUUAUCGGUACCGGGGAUCGAACUCACGACCGCCUGCUUGCAAGGCAGGUGCUUACGCCGCUGAGCUAAAUCCCCAGCCCCUACACUGUUUUAGCUUUGCCAUUUUCUUGCCAUGAAACUCUGGGUCAGCCACUUAACCUUUGAGACACUUACUGGGGGAGAAUAUUAUCUGUACUAAUUCCCAGUGAUGAUGUAUCAGGUUGAAAUAAAUGUAUCUAAACACUCUAUCUGGCCAUGGUGGUGCAUACCUGUAAUCCCAGGAUUUGGGAGGCUGAGACGAAGAGUAUAAGGCUAGCCUGAACCACACAGUUCUCAAGAAACACCCUCCACCCAAAAAACCAAACUUCUAAACAUUGAUGCCAGAGCAGGGGAUUUGGUGGGAGGGAUGACCCAAAAGAAUUUGGAGACAUCCAGUUCAAACCCCUCAUAUUUCAAGUAAGGAAGGAGAACCUCAGUUGUCAAGAGACCAUGUUGAGGGGGCUGGGGAUUUAUUUAGCUCAGCGGCAUAAGCGCCUGCCUUGCAAGCAGGCAGUCGUGAGUUUGAUCCCUGGUACUGAUAAAAAUGAAAAAGACAAAAAAAAAAAAAAAAAAAAAAAAAAGAAAGAAAAGAAAAGAAAAGAGAGAC